GGGGCUAGAUGACAAUGGCGGUGGAGGGGAUUGAGGGCUAGGUUGGUAGGCAGGUGGUGUAGCAGGAGCUACUGGUGGGGGGCUAGAUGAUGGCAAUGGUGGAGGCUGCUCAUUAGUCGGGUCCACCGAAGGUGCUGUGGGUGGGCUAGAUGAUGGCAAUGGUGGAGGCUGCUCAUUAGUCGGGUCCACCGGAGGUGCUGUGGGUGGGCUAGAUGAUGGCAAUGGUGGAGGCUGCUCAUUAGUCGGGUCCACGGGAGGUGCUAUGGGUG
rnacentral:lncRNA from 1 species